rnacentral:misc_RNA from 1 species
AUCUCGCGAGAGCCGCGCGGCCCCCGAAGGCUCGCAGGCGGAAGUGAGACGCCGGAAGCGGUCGUUGCCAUGGAUCCUGGGGACGACUGGCUGGUGGAAUCCUUGCGCUUGUAAAUCGUACCAGGAUUUCUAUGCAUUCGACCUGUCAGGAGCCACUCGAGUCCUUGAAUGGAUUGAUGACAAAGGAGUCUUUGUUGCUGGCUAUGAAAGCCUGAAAAAGAAUGAAAUUCUUCAUCUGAAAUUACCUCUCAGACUUUCUGUAAAGGAAAACAAGGGCUUAUUCCCAGAAAGAGAUUUCAAAGUGCGCCAUGGAGGAUUUUCAGACAGGUCUAUCUUUGAUCUAAAGCAUGUGCCACAUACCAGAUUGCUGGUUACCAGUGGCCUUCCAGGUUGUUAUCUGCAGGUGUGGCAGGUUGCAGAGGACAGUGAUGUCAUUAAAGCUGUCAGCACCAUUGCUGUGCAUGAGAAAGAGGAGAGUCUCUGGCCUAGGGUGGCCGUCUUCUCCACAUUGGCACCCGGAGUCCUCCAUGGGGCGAGGCUCCGAAGUCUGCAGGUCGUUGAUCUGGAGUCCCGGAAGACCACGUACACCUCAGAUGUCAGUGACAGUGAGGAGCUGAGUAGCCUGCAGGUCCUAGAUGCAGACACCUUUGCCUUCUGCUGUGCUUCAGGCCGGCUGGGGCUUGUUGACACCCGGCAGAAGUGGGCACCGUUGGAGAAUCGCAGCCCUGGCCCUGGGUCUGGUGGAGAGAGAUGGUGUGCUGAAGUUGGGAGCUGGGGCCAGGGCCCUGGGCCCAGCAUUGCCAGCCUUGGCUCAGAUGGGCGUCUUUGUCUUCUUGACCCCCGGGAUCUCUGCCAUCCUGUGAGCUCAGUCCAGUGCCCAGUAUCCGUACCUAGCCCUGACCCAGAGCUGCUGCGAGUGACUUGGGCCCCAGGCCUGAAGAAUUGCUUGGCCAUCUCAGGUUUUGAUGGUACAGUCCAGGUCUAUGAUGCCACAUCUUGGGAUGGAACACGGAGCCAAGAUGGAACACGGAGCCAAGUAGAACCUCUCUUCACUCACAGAGGUCACAUCUUCCUAGAUGGAAAUGGGAUGGACCCUGCUCCUUUGGUCACCACCCACACCUGGCAUCCCUGCAGACCAAGGACUUUGUUAUCAGCAACAAAUGAUGCCUCUCUGCAUGUGUGGGACUGGGUGGACCUUUGUGCCCCCCGCUGACACCAGCAUCUUUCCAUCUAGGCCUCUAGAAAGGGGAGGAGCUGCUGUAGUAGCAAGGGUGCUCAUGUAGGACUCAAGUGACUACCAGUCCCUGUUACCAGCUGUGUGGCCUUGGGCAAGUCUGCCAGCGUCACUUAGCCUCAGUUUCCUUAUCUGUAAAAUGAGGAUAGUAAGAACUACCUCGUAGUGAUAUUGCGAAGGUUAGAAGAAACGCAUGGCAUAAUUACUUGGUAGCUAUUGUUAGAUCUGGGAGUGUGAAAUGGUAGCGUUUUGUCCCUGUCUUCACACUAUCAUAGGGAGAAUCAAAAGAGCUAACAAAUAUAAACAUGCUUUGUGAAUUUUUUUAAAGAAAAAAAUGUAGAGGGGCCAAUAAACAUGAAAAAAUCCCAGCCCUAGUAGCAAUUAAGGAAAUAGCAAAACAGGAUUUCUGCUCCUCUUGAGUGGGUCUCAUGGGAACACAGGUGCACUUUCCCACACUUGUCCCCCCAGGUGACUAGGUUCAAGAGACAUUUGCUUUUGGUGGCCCCACAAACAUUUCCUUUUGAGGGCCCAUAGUGAAUAUUAAAGUGUGCUGGACAUGGUGGCUCAUGCCUGUAAUCCCAGCACUUUCAGAGGCUGAGGUGGGCAGAUUGCUUGAGCUGAGGAGUUUGAGACCAGCCUGGGCAACAUAGCAAGAUCCCUUCCCUUAAAAAAAAAAAAAAA